UUAUACUAUUUAUACUUCCAGAAUGCACUAAUUUGCAAAGUGGAAGCUGAGAACAUCCAUCUGCCCAUUGGUGAAUGAGCAGAGAAAACCUUGUAUCUAUAAAGCCAGAGCGGAGGCAUGGAAGAAAUGAUGCUGAGUUAAUCUUCCACAUCCUGGGUGUAAAUCUUCCCAGUUGCUUGGCUAGUAUCAAACAUCCCACAUCUGCCUGCACAGUAAGUACAUUUUUCUGAUUCAGUAGUAGCAGGAGAAGGUCAAGUGGUCAUUUUAUAGUUCCAGCUUCAAUUUCAGUGAGAUGUUUUUUGUGUAAUCUUAGCAGUGUGUUGUCUGUAAGAACCAGAACCAGAAUCCAAGAAUAUGAGGACAGAAUUCCAUAAGUA
rnacentral:lncRNA from 1 species